CCUACGGGGUGCACCAGUGGGGAAUAUUGCACAAUGGGCGCAAGCCUGAUGCAGCGACGCCGCGUGAGGGAUGACGGCCUUCGGGUUGUAAACCUCUUUCGCUAGGGACGAAGCGCAAGUGACGGUACCUAGAGAAGAAGCACCGGCCAACUACGUGCCAGCAGCCGCGGUAAUACGUAGGGUGCGAGCGUUGUCCGGAAUUACUGGGCGUAAAGAGCUCGUAGGCGGUUUGUCGCGUCGUCUGUGAAAUUCUGCAACUCAAUUGCAGGCGUGCAGGCGAUACGGGCAGACUUGAGUACUACAGGGGAGACUGGAAUUCCUGGUGUAGCGGUGAAAUGCGCAGAUAUCAGGAGGAACACCGGUGACGAAGGCGGGUCUCUGGGUAGCAACUGACGCUGAGGAGCGAAAGCGUGGGGAGCGAACAGGAUUAGAUACCCUAGUAGUC
rnacentral:rRNA from 1 species